CUGCCCGUGAGACUCGUGGUAGACCACCACGUUGAUAGGCUGGGUGUGAAAGCGUGGCAACACGUUCAGCUAACCAGUACUAAUCAGUCCCAAGGCUUGACCGU
rnacentral:rRNA from 1 species